GUGAAUCAUCGAAUUUUUGAACGCAAAUUGCGCUUCCCGGCAUCCCGGGAAGUAUGCCUGUUUGAGGGUCAGUAUUAACAAAAAAUCGGUUUGGUUGCAAAUUGUGACGUUUCCGGAGUUUGGGCUAUCUUAACUUUUUUGGUUAAGGGGCUUAAAAUUGACCUUAUUUGCGCAUUUUUAGACGUACAUAAAUUUUUUUUUUUAUUUCUAUUUUUUAUGUCCAAAUAUUUUUUUAUGUGCU
rnacentral:misc_RNA from 1 species